GGGUGGCGACCGGCGCACGGGUGCGUAACGCGUAUGCAACCUACCCUGUACUGGGGGAUAGCCCGGAGAAAUUCGGAUUAACACCCCAUAGUAUUAUGUAACCGCAUGGUUAUAUACUUAAAGGUAACGGUACAGGAUGGGCAUGCGUCCUAUUAGCUAGAUGGUGAGGUAACGGCUCACCAUGGCUACGAUAGGUAGGGGGCCUGAGAGGGUGAUCCCCCACACUGGUACUGAGACACGGACCAGACUCC
rnacentral:rRNA from 1 species